GGGGGGGGAAUUUUAUAUAGUCAAUUUAGAAUAUUUUCCUAUGGUUACAAGAUUCAUGUUCUUUCCUAAUAGGAGGAAAUUUCAUUGAAGUUACUUUCCCAAGAUCUGAUAUCACAGUACGAAGCAGAGCUGGGACUUGAACUCUUAUGUUCUGACUCCAAAUUGCAUGUUGCUUCCUCAGCAUCAUAGAAAACCAGCAACAACUGGAGUGAUCAGGGAAUGCUUCCUGGAGGAGACGACAUCUGAGCUUGAAGACAAAGGAUGCUUUUGAAAGGAAAAGACGACCAUCGAGUGAUCAAAGAUCAUUGAAUCACAGAACCUCAGAGCUGGCAGGAACCUCCAGGAGCAUUCUAGCUCAACCUGUGCCUUUGCAGAAUGUGAAUUCCUUGAGGAUAAAGAUGACACAUCAUUGGUGUCUAAUAAACGUUUGAUGAAUAUAUUCAAACUGAACAUCCCUCCCCCUGUGAGGGGCGAUGGAUUUACCCUGUUGCCUGGAGACUGGACUCAAACAGAGACCCAGAGAGAGCACCUGGGCACUGGCUCUGGAGGGGUUAAGAAAGAGUCCUGGAGCGGAUAAUGGAGCUGAGUAACCCCAGCAAAGUGAAGCCUCAGCUCAAGCUGGAGGGAGACAACAGGAAGAAGAAGCAGCAUCUGCGGACCCCCUCCCCAGGCAGGACUUACCUCCUACCCCAGCACUCAGGCUGCCUCCUGCUGGAUUAAUAUUUCUCAACAUAUAAUUAAAUAUUGUUUUUGUGAUUAAUCACUAUGUUUAAAUUAUGUU
rnacentral:lncRNA from 1 species